AUUGAACGCUGGCGGCAGGCCUAACACAUGCAAGUCGAGCGGAGCGGCGGACGGGUGAGUAAUGCCUAGGAAUCUGCCUGGUAGUGGGGGAUAACGUCCGGAAACGGGCGCUAAUACCGCAUAAUAUCAGAUGAGCCUAGGUCGGAUUAGCUAGGUGGUGGGGUAAAGGCCUACCAAGGCGACGAUCCGUAACGGGUCUGAGAGGAUGAUCAGUCAGACUGUAACUGAGACAGGGCCCAGACUCCUGAGGUGGGAAGCAGUGGGGAAUACUGGGCAAGGGAGGAAAGCCUGAUCCAGCCAUGCCGCGUGUGUGAAGAAGGUCUUCGGAGUGGAAAGCGCUUUAAGUUGGGAGACGUUACCAACAGAAUAAGCACCGGCUAACUUCGUGCCAGCAGCCGCGGUAAUAC
rnacentral:rRNA from 1 species